CGUGGGUAACCUGCCUUAUAGUGGGGGAGUAGCCUUUCGAAAGGAAGAUUAAUACCGCAUAGGAUUGUAGUAUCGCAUGAUAUAGCAAUUAAAAGGAAGCAAUUCGCUAUAAGAUGGACCCGCGUCGCAUUAGCUAGUUGGUGAGGUAAUGGCUCACCAAGGCGACGAUGCGUAGCCGACCUGAGAGGGUGAUCGGCCACAUUGGGACUGAGACACGGCCCAGACUCCUACGGGAGGCAGCAUG
rnacentral:rRNA from 1 species